rnacentral:misc_RNA from 1 species
GUUCUAACGAAUGAAAUUGACUAUUAGAUACUUACAUGGUAAAUGAUUCAUUCCAUAGUUUGAUAUAUCUUUUGAAGAUGAAUCGGACGAGAAUAAAGAGAGAGUCCCAUUUUACAUGUCAAUACCGACAACAAUGAAAUUUAUAGUAAGAGGAAAAUCCGUCGAAUUUUAAAAUCGUGAGGGUUCAAGUCCCUCUAUCCCCAAGAAAAAGCCCAUUCUAUUUCCUCGCUCUUUAUCAUUAUUGUGAUAUUUACAAAGAAUUUAAAGAUCUCAUAAAUUAAGGGGGCUAGGUCCAAUUUUUUUUUUUAUAUUUUCUUUUUUAGUUCUUUUCAUUGACAUAGAUACAAGUACUCUGCUAGGAUGAUGCAGAGAAAAGA